CACGUAGGGCGCAAGCGUUGUCCGGAAUUAUUGGGCGUAAAGAGCUCGUAGGCGGUCUGUUACGUCUGCUGUGAAAACCCUGGGCUUAACCCUGGGCUUGCAGUGGAUACGGGCAGACUAGAGGCAGGUAGGGGAGAAUGGAAUUCCCGGUGUAGCGGUAGAAAUGCGCAGAUAGUCGGGAGGAACACCGGUGGCGAAGGCGGUUCUCUGGGCCUGACCUGACGCUGAGGAGCGAAAGCGUGGGGAGCAAACAGG
rnacentral:rRNA from 1 species